rnacentral:tRNA from 1 species
GGCCUCGUAGCUUAGUUGGUCAGAGCUUUGGCUGUACCGAAACCUUAUUACUAGCGUGGGUUCGAAUCCUACCGAGGCCG